rnacentral:rRNA from 1 species
CCUACGGGGGGCAGCAGUGGGGGAUAUUGCACAAUGGGGGGAACCCUGAUGCAGCGACGCCGCGUGGGUGAAGGAGCGUUUCGGCGCGUAAAGCCCUAUCGGCAGGGAAGAAGGAGGACGGUACCUGACUCAGAAGCCCCGGCUAACUACGUGCCAGCAGCCGCGGUACUACGUAGGGGGCAAGCGUUAUCCGGAUUUACUGGGUGUAAAGGGGGCGCAGACGACAGCGCAAGCCAGGAGUGAAAGCCCGGGGCCCAACCCCGAGACUGCUCUUGGAACUGCGCGGCUGGAGUGCAGGAGAGGCAGGCGGAAUUCCUGGUGUAGCGGUGAAAUGCGUAGAUAUCAGGAGGAACACCGGUGGCGAAGGCGGCCUGCUGGACUGCGACUGACGUUGAGGCCCGAAAGCGUGGGGAGCAAACAGGAUUAGAUACCCUUGUAGUC